CUUCAUACUGGUUAAUCCCUCCUGCACUAGGCCAGGAAAUGGGGUCACAUAGAACUUCAUAAUUUUUUUCAGUUUAUCUCUAGGGAGAAACUGUCUUUUAUACUUCCAGUUUCUAGUUUUCCCUAAGAACGCUGCUAAUUGGAUUAAAAUGUGUCACCACUAGGAUCCUGGACCAAUCCUCUGGGGCAAGAGUAAUGGGACAGGACAAUCGACCAACAAGAAGCAAAUAUGUGAAAAGAAGCCCUUUUUAAUCCACUGCUGGAGAUGUUUGCUCUUGAGGACACGGCAGCUGCUUGUGAUACCCAGGAUACAGAGAAAUUCUCCUGUUAAAUACAACAAAAUGAACCAAAUAAUCCGACCCACUGAAGAGUUCCACAGAGGACCAAGAACAAUUCUUCCCACAGCUUUAGACUCUCGUCCUACUGAUGGAUUUUCUGUGAAUCCCAAGAUGAAUCACAAGUGUUUUCCUCCUCUUCAAAUCUCCCAGCUCUGCCUGUACUCUGGGACACUCCAUAGAUUUUUCUCUUCAUGAGUAAAAAAAACCCAAGAGGAAGGAAGCCCCAGAGAAAAUAUUCCUGUGGCGGAGAGACUGGAAGACUAAGUGAAGGAUGCCAUUUGCUCAGCUUCCAAAUACCCUGACUUCCAGAUCCAUAGGCACCCACUCCAGGAGCUCACUUUGUGCGAGCAAGGUACCCCAUAAUGGAGCUGCAUUGUGAACCUUACCCCCACACCGUCCCCACGGCCCCUCAAUGUUCUCAUUCUUAAUGUGUUUCUGGGCCAUUUUCCCCUCCAAGAUUCAUUUAUAGGACUAAAGACAUUAUAUGAAAUUAUAUUUGUCUUUAAAUUAUUAAAAAUUUAGUGAAUGCAGAAAAUUAAAAUCACAAGUAAUCCAAUUUCCUAAUGAAAUUUAGAGUUUACAUUUUGGUUUAUAAUUUCCAGUGUCUCUUCCCUUAUGCCCCAGGGCUCCUUAGAAUAGCAAUGACUGCAGAAGAAACAUAUUCUAGAGAAGCCACAACAUUUGUCAUGCCAAAAAUUCUACCCAGCAGAAUCCAAACAAGCCCUGCAUUAGUUAUUUUUAUAUUGCUGUGAUAAAACACCAUGGCCAAGGGUUUAUUUGGGCUAAUGGUCCUAGAGGAGUAAAAGUCUGUCAUGGUGGGAGAAUGGAUAUAUUUGAAUCACAAGCACAGAACAGAGAUAGUGAACUGGGAAAAACAGGAGGCUUUUAAAACCUCAUGUCCCACCCCCAUGACAUACCUUUGCCAGCAAGUUCAUACCUUCUAAUUCUAUCCAAACAGCACCACCAACAGGGGACCAAGUAGUCACAUGCCUGAGAUCAUGGGUGACAUUUCAUUGAGACCCCAUAUCUGAAAAAUCAGGUUUGAGCCCAUGUAUACCUCUAGGUCUUAGUCCACAGACAACUUGCAAGAAGUGAAAACUGGGGGCUGAGGAUGUGUCUGGACUGGCAGAGUGUCUGCCUAGAAUUCUUAAAAUCCUGGGUUGGACUCCUCCUACCUCUUCACAAACCAGGCAUGACUGCACACUCCUCUAACCCUAGUUCUUGGAAGGUGGAAACGGGAGGAUCAAAACCGGAAGGUCGUCUUCUGCUACAUAAUUAAUUUGAGGUCAGCACAAGAUGCUACACAUGUCCCAGUCCUACAAAAGGAAAAUAAAUAAAAGUGCUGUGGGGAUGGAGAUGGUCUCGCUGGUAAAGUUCUUCCAUCGCAACCCUGAGGACCUGAGACAGAUCUCCCAGAAGCCAUGUUAAAAGGCUGGUCACAGUGGCCUGGGUGCAUAACCCUACUACCGGGGAGAUAGAGACUUGCGGAUUCCUGGCACUUCCUGGCCAGGAGCUUCCUGGUGAGUUUUAAGCCAGUGAGAGGGCCCUUUUCCGAAAAUAGGGCAAUGAAUUGCUGAGGAAAGACUUCUGACACUGAACUCUGGUCAUCACAUGCACGUGCAAGCACAUGUACUUAGAGCGGAGGGAGAAUGCUAGCCUUCCAUCCUGGAACAAAGAAAAGAAACAAUAGUUCGUUCAAAGGCUGGUAUUGUGUGCAAGAAGAUACAACAUCUGUGGCAACCACCUUUGUUUAUUCUCUGCUUAUUGUCAGGUCUGUUCAGGCUGUAAUGAGUUACUGCUUUAGGGCUUUGCAUAUUGAAAUCAUGUGUUUUUCCUUGUGAUCAGGAACGCAGAAAGAAAAAAGGAGGGGCAUUUACCGAGCUAUCACACAAUUAAGAUUAUUCAUUGUCAUGUCUCUUUGGUUUGUUGUGUUUUGUGAAAGAUGUGUCUGGUCUCCAUUGUUUUUAUUAUUUUCAGCUGUCCUAAUUACUUCUCUCAUUUGAUUUCAAUUCAGCUUUCAAAGAGGCACUGUCUUACCAGGUGGUUAUUAUGUUUUUUUUUUUUCUCUCUCUCUCUUCUUAAAUCCUUUUAACUUUUAUUUAAAAAGAUGUCGAAAGAAAUAACUAUUUUGACAUUUACUUGUAACAUAUUCACGACCCCACUGAAGAGGGGUAUCUGUGUUAUUAAUGUGUAUUUCUGCCUUUUUUUUCCCCCUGCCACUCAUGUCCAAAGUGUAGAAAGUCAGCUCAGCUUUUCAAAAUCUUUCAUUUUUUCCCUCUGUAAGUUAAAUGAUAAAGACAGAUAUUAGAGAUGAAAACACUUUCUAAAUCAGUAAUCUAAACUAAUAUACAGGUAUAUAUAUAUACCUGGCUAGUUUUAGGUCAAGUUGGCACAAGCUCCUCAUCUGAGAGGAGAAAAACCUCAAUUAUAAAAAUGAUGUAUUAAGAAAAUUAAUUAAGAAAAGGUUGUAUGAAAGCCUAUGGGACAUUUUCUUCACUAGUGAUUGAUAAGCCAGGUCCCAGCCCAUUGUGGGUGGUGCCAUCCUUGGGCAGGUGGUUCUGGGUUCUAUAAAAAGCAGGCUGAGCAAGCCAUGUGGAACAAGCCAGUAAGCAGCACUCCUCCACAGCCUUUGCUUCUGCCUCUAGGUUGCAGCCCUGUGUAAGUUUUGGUCUUGACUCCCUUUGCUAAUGAACAGUUAUGGUGGAAGUGUAAGCCAAAUAAAUUCUUUCCUCUCAAGUUCCUUUAGUCAUGAUGUUUUAUCACAGCAAUAGAAAUUGUAACUACGACACAAUGCUUGAUUUGUUUGUAUAAAGUUGGACUUUAUUGGGGCUAUAUUUCAAUAUCUGAGAUAUUAAAACUGAAGAGAAAGAAAAAGAGUGGCUUUAGAGGUCAAAUGGAAAUUAAGGUCAAUGUCAGCUUUAUGUGGCCUUAUGGGCCAGUUUUCUGUUUACCAUAGGGAAGUGAAACAAAUACUAUCUCAGCAUUAAAUAGCAGCAUGAUUAAAUCCAUUCUGUUCUGCUAAACAGACAUGUUAUCAGAUGCCUCCAGAAUAUUAUUUAUAUUUAUCCCCAUAAAUUAGCUCUGCCCUCAACACUGGCUGGAGAAACUUCUCUCUGCAGUUGGCAGCAGUCAAUGAAGAAAUUUCUAACUUGUCAGUGUGCUGAGGAUGAGUGAAAAAUGCUCAGCUCUAAGUGGGACUCCUACACUGACCCCCACUCAAGGAUCAGAGACGCUAGAAGUGUGGAGAAUGUAAGAUCUGUAGGAUGGGAGGAGUGCUAUCUGGACAUGGCCUCACCAUUGCCUUCAUGAAUGUGCUACAGCUGUGGUUUCCUGCACAAGGUCUAAAGGGGCCAAGACAAGAUUGGUUAACAUUCCAGCAGGUUGCAUGAAUUGGGAUCAGUCAAUUAUACUGACAGAAAGAAAGAAAAAGAAAGAAAGAAAGAAAGAAAGAAAGAAAGAGAAAG